GCCUGAUCGGUCCAGAUGGAGUGGACGCCCGCCUGUCGAGCGGGAGACCACGGGUUCAAGUCCCGUAUCAGGCG
rnacentral:tRNA from 1 species